CCCUAAUGCAGUGCCGACCGUGGGAGCAUGGAGGCGGGUGCCUCGAAAACAGCAUCAACGCAGAAGGGCUGGUACUCCCGUGAGCUGCUAUCUGUCUGGGCCAGGAGAGGUCCCCAUAUACUCAACUUACAAUCCCAGAUGGCACUUACCCUGUGUGACAUGAACACGCCUAGUUGCAGACUCCGGAAUCAGGUCCUGUAUGAGGCUCGAUGAAAAAUGUGUGAGGCGGUUAGGUGGGGCUGUGCUCCGGCCCAAGGUUGGUGGCUAGCAGUUAAGUGGGCCACUUGUAAACACUUGUCUUGGACAAUGGGACAUUAUUUGUUGGGCAUAGGCUGAACUAGCAGUUACAAUAAUGCAACUUUUCAGUCACUG